rnacentral:lncRNA from 1 species
AUGGUUCCCUCUUCCCUGCCUGGAGGAAGAGCAUCUCCCAGGCAGCCCCUGAUAGCAGAAGAGCUCUGUUUGCUUGCACAGGUUGCACACCAAGCAAGGCAUAGGCGCUGCCGUGACUCCAAUUGGAAUGACCAUGAGUUAAUCCCCAAGGCUCCAUGUGCCCUAUCCCAGAUGAAGGCACCAGCACAGGAGAGCAUCACCAGAGCUGGGAGCACGGCCACAUCCCAGCCUCCAUGGCUCUUCCAGGCUCUACCUGCCGGUGCCGUGCCGGGAGAGGAACCUCUGCUUGGAAGCUGCUGUUAUAUUAAGAAUGAGGAAGGGCUGGAGCUGUUGCGACAUGCGGGAGGGGAUGCUUCCACUUCCAGAUUUCUCAGGGCUCCCUGGGAUUUCGGAUGCAAAAAUCGCCUUCAAAUUGCCUCACAGGAAAGCCUCUUUAUUUUUACCUUCCUUGACUUCGCCACGGACGCAGGAUCCCACAGGAGCAUUCCCAGAUUGGGAUUCAUUGGAGAGCAAGGAAACAAGAAGGAAAAGCUUCUUGGGGCUGAGUUUAGGGAGCUCUGCAGAGACCCAGCCUCUAGGAAGCCUGGUUGGGAAGCAAAGCCCAAGGAGCCGAGCUCUGCCCAAGGCUGGGAGCUGAAGGCAAGUUCUGGGCUGGGAAGGGCAGAGCUGGUGCAGGCAGGAGGAGGGAUGGGGCAGAGUAAAUCCGGGUCUAUCAGCAGUAAUCAGAGGCUGAGGGCUGGGAGGAACAGGAUACCCUCAACUUUGUGCUUCCCCAUCCCCUGCCCCUGCGCUUUCCCAGUUGUCUUCAUGCAUUUGGAGCAGGUGAAGCCUUUUCUGUGUUCAAAACAACUCGAAAAUGGGGGCAAGGCAAUGAAGGCUGCUGCGUUCUGGUGCUGUCAGCUGAAACCGGAGCGUGAAGAGCCAAUGGCACCUCCAGCACUGCCAAACCCGGAUUGCUGCCCGAGGAACAAAGCCGGCCCUGUCCUCAGCUGGAGCUCCUCAGCCGCAUCCGCAUCCCGUUCCCCUCCCCGCACCGGCACAAAGGCUGCAGGAGCACAGAGCCAGGGCUGGUUUGUGCCAGGGAAGUCAGCGCCCUGCAAUGCACAUAAAGAACCCGCAGUGGUCCUGCAUUUCCAGGGAUGGAGAGGAAGAUGUCAGCUCCUUCCCAUGCUCGGUGCAUGGCUCCCGGAGCGCACACUGGGAUAA